rnacentral:rRNA from 1 species
UACAGAGGGUGCAAGCGUUAAUCGGAAUUACUGGGCGUAAAGGGUGCGUAGGUUGCUAGAUAAGUUAGGUGUGAAAGUCCUGGGCUUAACCUGGGGAUUGCGCCUAAUACUGAUUAGCUAGAGUGCUGUAGAGGGUAGUGGAAUUUCCGGUGUAGCGGUGAAAUGCGUAGAUAUCGGAAGGAACACCAGUGGCGAAGGCGACUACCUGGACAGACACUGACACUGAGGCACGAAAGCAUGGGGAGCAAACAGG